AAAAAGAAUGCAAAGAAGCAAUAACCAGACAUUUCAUCCUCUGAAGCCAGAUACGGGACACUAGACCAGCAGCUCCCUCAGUUUCCACCUCAUUCUCUUCGUGGAAUUCUUUUAGCUUGGUGGCAGUGAAGUAGGGGGCGGAACAUGGGAAUCAGGCAGGAGUCUUCUAAAAGGUGGGGACCAACUUCAGGCCUUGCUGCCUGCAAAGAGGAGAACUGUUUAUAAUGGCUGUGUGGUGUACUAAGCAGAAAUCACUUUACAAACAAGAUGACUAAAACCAUAUACUGAAGAAUUGGAAACUAGGAAACUGAAAUUAAUGCCAAAUAAUAUUUAAAUUUAUUCUUUGAAGCCAUGUUUUUAUUGUUUUUCAUUCUGCCUGGAGCUAUGAAUAAUGAAG
rnacentral:lncRNA from 1 species